rnacentral:rRNA from 1 species
GAUGAACGCUAGCGGCAGGCUUAAUACAUGCAAGUCGAGGGGCCGCAGCGGUACCAUUACCCGCUGGCGACCAGCGGCCGGGUGCGUAACGCGUAUGCAACCGACCUUAAACCGGGGGACAGGCUUCCGUACGGGAGAUUCAUACCGCAUAAUACAAUGGAGUCGCAUGACUUAGUUGUCAAAACUGUGGCGGGUAAAGAAGGGCAUGCGUGCCAUUAGCUAGUUGGCGAGGUAACGGCUCACCAAGGCGACGAUGGCUAGGGGAUCUGAGAGGAUGACCCCCCACACUGGUACUGAGACACGGACCAGACUCCUACGGGAGGCAGCAGUAAGGAAUAUUGGACAAUGGGGGCAGCCCUGAUCCAGCCAUGCCGCGUGCAGGAAGACGGUCCUACGGAUUGUAAACUGCUUUUAUCGGGGAAGAACUCCUUUUACGUGUAAGAGGUUGACGGUACCCGAGGAAUAAGGAUCGGCUAACUCCGUGCCAGCAGCCGCGGUAA